rnacentral:lncRNA from 1 species
AUCCCAUCCCUGUUGCUAAGUGAAAUAUCACAUGAUUGCAACUGUUCUUAUGACAUUACUUCAACUUUCCUUUGCUUUACAGAUUUGAGAAGGUCGUAAUUGAAGGCAUCAGUCAUAAGGUUACUUUUCAUCAUUGUUCCAACUGCAAAUAGUUACUGUCCAAGGGAGUUACUAAACAAGGACUCCUGUAGACCACCGUGAUAUGGAUGCAAUGAGCAGUUUGCUUGCUUGUCUUAACAACAAUUGAAAGUUCCUAUGGACUCUCAUUAUAAGAGUGUAAAUAUGAUGUAAUCAGGGCAUAGGUUACCAUAGCCAGGUUGGACCAUUUGAAUAAAACCUAAUUAGAGGGAGUUGUGUAAACAUGCACUUUGUCUCCACCUUCAUUGGAAAUCUGAGGACAGAAAAUGAUCAAAGAGAACUCCCAUUAUUGCAAUAGGAAGAGAAAUGCACUUGCUUGGGAUGAAAAUCACAUAAAAACAUGAUACAACAUUUCAUCAACGAGCAUCCAUCAGCAAAAAAAUACAUGGAGACUUCUGGAAAUUGGAACUUUCUGACAAACAAGAAGUUAGAGGUCCAAGGAUAUGGAGAGAGAAAGAAAGAGAAACUAAAAUUGGUGUUUUGGAGAUUGUGCCAAGGUCCACGGUGCAGUUCUCCUCCUCCUCCAAGUUCUUCUCAAGUUUGACAUCCUUCUUGCUGCCCCUUCAGUUGGACUCCAAGAGGAGAAGGGAUCUGGGCUUGAGACCAUCUCUGAAAAGAAGCUAGAUUUGCAGAAAGAAUUUAGCAUGAGCCUAAAACUCUCACGGCAGCUUCUUCGCAAAACAAAGGCUCUUACAAGAUCUUACCUUUUGGUCCGUUUACCUGGAGUUGAGGUCCCUCUUAUUUCCCACUUGAGGCAUCUUCCCUCAGACAGCCUUGAUUUUCAGACAUGGAGCUCUCUUUCAGAUGCCAAACGAUUGUCACAGAUAGCCAAGACCAUUUCAUUUUAUCACAAGUUAGUACAACAACUGACAAACUUUGAAGCAAUCAAAGAAAAUUCCAAAUUCUCCUCUCAGUUUGAAGGUAUCGAUAUUGACCUCCGAGAUCUUGGUUAUCAAGUGGAUUACCAGAUUAAAUCUGGGGGCCUAUCAUCUGAUAUCCAGCCUAUAUCAACUCCUCAGAUCCUUCAACACCACAGGCAGUGGACGAACCGCCAAGAAGUAUAUAUUGUCCUUCGUUCUCUUGAAAGCUUCCUGCUUCGGGUUGCACGAGAUUUUUGGAUGCUCAGGAUGAGGAUGUCUAAAGUGGCUUCACCUUCCAAGAUUUUCUAAUCUUAACAUUUCCUGUUUUAAACUCCAUCACCUGAUUCCAAACAACUAAGGAAUACUGACAUCCUGGUAUCUCGGUGUUCAUGCUGUUCUUUAAAUUAUCUAAAAUAUCUAAUUUAUAUAUCUAUUUAUUUUUUCUAAAUAUUUUAUUAUUUUAACUUAUUUGUUAAAGCAGUGUUUUGGCCAGUUCACAUAUACAACUGUUCAGUGAAUGCACUUUCUCAUGACAAUGUAAAAGUUAUUGUUUUUUAAAGGUCAGAAAGAAUUGCCAGCUAGUUUGCAGGGAAUUUUAAAUAUUGUGUUUAUCCAUAAAAAUAUGGAUGGCUACUAUUUUAUCUGUUUUUUUAAAAUGGCUAGUUACUCAAAUGGGCCAGAGAAUUUUGAAGGUAUCUACAGAAAGAUAUACAGUAUAAAUGUAUAAUCCCAAUGGAUUAUGGAGAAACUAUUUUUUAAUUUUCUAAAACAGAUCUGAGUAAAUGUGCAUAUGGUAUAAAAUAUAUGUUUUGAGUGAUACUGCC